CCACCGAACAAAAAUCUCCUCCAUCUCCACUCUCUCAACCACAAAAAUUUUCUUAAAAUCUCUCUUCCCACCGUGUUUUUCCCUUCAAAUCAUCCUUUUAGGAACUAAAUCUCUUUUUCUUUUCUUCCUCAUUUGGGCAGAUCAAGCUUACCCUAGCUUCAAACCCUCGUCUCCAAACCGACGAUCUAUCUCCCCAAAAUUCUUAUUUUUCCAUUAAAAUCCUUUCCACUCUACCUCUCAUUAGGUCUUCUAAGUUGUUUGCAAGUC
rnacentral:lncRNA from 1 species